GUUCUCGCUUAGGCGGUACAUACACUAAAUUUGGAACGAUAGAGAAAAUUAGCAUGGCUCCUGAGCAAGGAUGACAAGCAAAAUCGUGAAGCGUUCCAUAUUUUU
rnacentral:snRNA from 1 species